CAGUAGCCGCGGUAAUACGUAGGUGGCAAGCGUUGUCCGGAAUUAUUGGGCGUAAAGGGCUCGCAGGCGGUUUCUUAAGUCUGAUGUGAAAGCCCCCGGCUCAACCGGGGAGGGUCAUUGGAAACUGGGAAACUUGAGUGCAGAAGAGGAGAGUGGGAUUCCACGUGUAGCGGUGAAAUGCGUAGAGAUGUGGAGGAACACCAGUGGCGAAGGCGACUCUCUGGUCUGUAACUGACGCUGAGGAGCGAAAGCGUGGGGAGCGAACAGGAUUAGAUACCCGGGUAGUCCCUGUCUCUUAUAC
rnacentral:rRNA from 1 species